rnacentral:piRNA from 1 species
UGAAUGUGAUCCUGUUGCAGACUGACGUGC